rnacentral:rRNA from 1 species
UACGUAGGGGGCUAGCGUUGUCCGGAAUCAUUGGGCGUAAAGAGCGCGUAGGCGGCUAGAUAAGUCCGGUGUGAAAGUCACAGGCUCAACCUGUGAAUGCCGCUGGAAACUGCCUGGCUAGAGUCCGGAAGGGGCGAGUGGAAUUCCUGGUGUAGCGGUGAAAUGCGCAGAUAUCAGGAGGAACACCAAUGGCGAAGGCAGCUCGCUGGGCCGGUACUGACGCUGAGGCGCGAAAGCGUGGGGAGCGAACAGG